GAUGAACGCUGGCGGCGUACCUAAUACAUGCAAGUCGAGCGAACGGACGAGAAGCUUGCUUUUCUGAUGUUAGCGGCGGACGGGUGAGUAACACGUGGAUAACCUACCUAUAAGACUGGGAUAACUUCGGGAAACCGGAGCUAAUACCGGAUAAUAUUUUGAACCGCAUGGUUCAUAAGUGAAAGACGGUCUUGCUGUCACUUAUAGAUGGAUCCGCGCUGCAUUAGCUAGUUGGUAAGGUAACGGCUUACCAAGGCAACGAUGCAUAGCCGACCUGAGAGGGUGAUCGGCCACACUGGAACUGAGACACGGUCCAGACUCCUACGGGAGGCAGCAGUAGGGAAUCUUCCGCAAUGGGCGAAAGCCUGACGGAGCAACGCCGCGUGAGUGAUGAAGGUCUUCGGAUCGUAAAACUCUGUUAUUAGGGAAGAACAUAUGUGUAAGUAACUGUGCACAUCUUGACGGUACCUAAUCAGAAAGCCACGGCUAACUACGUG
rnacentral:rRNA from 1 species